rnacentral:rRNA from 1 species
UACGGAGGGAGCUAGCGUUGUUCGGAAUUACUGGGCGUAAAGCGCACGUAGGCGGCUUUGUAAGUUAGAGGUGAAAGCCCGGGGCUCAACCCCGGAAUUGCCUUUAAGACUGCAUCGCUUGAAUCCGGGAGAGGUGAGUGGAAUUCCGAGUGUAGAGGUGAAAUUCGUAGAUAUUCGGAAGAACACCAGUGGCGAAGGCGGCUACACUGGACCGGUAUUGACGCUGAGGUGCGAAAGCGUGGGGAGCAAACAGGAU